UACGUAGGGUGCGAGCGUUAAUCGAAAUUACUGGGCGUAAAGCGUGCGCAGGCGGUUUUGUAAGCCAGAUGUGAAAUCCCCGGGCUCAACCUGGGAAUGGCAUUUGGGACUGCAAGGCUCGAGUGCGGCAGAGGAGACUGGAAUUCCUGGUGUAGCAGUGAAAUGCGUAGAUAUCAGGAGGAAUACCGAUGGCGAAGGCAGGUCUCUGGGCUGAAACUGACGCUCAUGCACGAAAGCGUGGGGAGCAAACAGG
rnacentral:rRNA from 1 species